UACGUAGGGUGCGAGCGUUGCCCGGAUUUAUUGGGCGUAAAGGGCGCGCAGGCGGCUACGCACGUCCGUUGUGAAAUCGCUCGGCUCAACUGGGCGGGGUCAGCGGAUACGGCGUGGCUGGAGCAAGCUAGGGGGCAAUGGAAUUCCCGGUGUAGUGGUGAAAUGCGUAGAUAUCAGGAGGAACACCAGUGGCGAAGGCGACUUCCUGGCCUGUUCUUGACGCUGAGGCGCGAAAGCUAGGGUAGCAAACGGGG
rnacentral:rRNA from 1 species